GGAGAGUUGGCAGAGUGGUCGAUUGCGGUGGUCUUGAAAACCAUUGUCCUUCACGGGACCGGGGGUUCGAAUCCCUCACUCUCCGCCA
rnacentral:tRNA from 1 species